rnacentral:rRNA from 1 species
AACGAACGCUGGCGGCAGGCUUAACACAUGCAAGUCGAGCGCCCCGCCAGGGGAGCGGCAGACGGGUGAGUAACGCGUGGGAACGUACCUUUUGGUUCGGAACAACUCCGGGAAACUGGAGCUAAUACCGGAUAAGCCCUAACGGGGAAAGAUUUAUCGCCGAAAGAUCGGCUCGCGUCUGAUUAGCUAGUUGGUGAGGUAACGGCUCACCAAGGCGACGAUCAGUAGCUGGUCUGAGAGGAUGAUCAGCCACACUGGGACUGGGACACAGCCCAGACUCCUACGGGAGGGAGCAGUGGGGAAUAUUGGAAAAUGGGCGGAAGGCUGAACCAGCCAUGCCGCGUGAGUGAUGAAGGCCUUAAGGUUGUAAAGCUCUUUUGUCCGGGAAGAUAAUGACGGUACCGGAAGAAUAAGCCCCGGCUAACUUCGUG